ensembl:lncRNA
GGGGGGGUGCCCAGAUCCAAUGAUGGGUGUCCUCAUGGGAACUGGGGAUGACGCGGAGAUACAGAGGGAGCCAAGGUGGGGAUGGCGGCAGAGACGGGAGCCGUGGGUCUGCAUGCCCAGGAAUGCCUAGGGUCGCCGGCCAGCCCCGGAAGCUGGACGAGGCAGGGACAGGUGUAAGACCUCCGGGAGCCCGGCCAGCUCCCAGCGGUUCCGGACUUCUGCUCACAGCUGGGAGAGAACCGAUUCCUGGUGUUUCUGAGCCGCUCGGCUGCCUGCGAGCCCUCCUAAACGUGCCCUCGGAGAUGCUUCCGCAAUGUGGACGGCUGGCCUGGAGCCACACUCCUCAGUGUGAAUCACCAGAGUUUCCCUGGGAACUGGCCUCAACCCAACAGCACCCCGGAUGGGCAGACGCCCUCUGACCCCGCCAUCCGGAUGCCACUGGCCUUGAACAACUGCCCACCCCCGAAGCUGUGG